rnacentral:rRNA from 1 species
UCCGUAGGCGGGCUAAUAAGUCAGUGGUGAAAUCUCAUAGCUUAACUAUGAAACUGCCAUUGAUACUGCAGGUCUUGAGUAAGGUAGAAGUAGCUGGAAUAAGUAGUGUAGCGGUGAAAUGCAUAGAUAUUACUUAGAACACCAAUUGCGAAGGCAGGUUACUAUGUCUUAACUGACGCUGAUGGACGAAAGCGUGGGGAGCGAACAGGAUUAGAUACCCUGGUAGUCC